UGUGUAUUAGUACAUGCUAACGAUAUUCAAAAAGUACAUACCUCAAAGAAAACGAUGACGCGAGUUAUCGUCUCUAACGUUCGAGGACUACAAAAAACACUCGGAUUGUAGGCAACAGUUUACUUCCUGGGAUUAGUGACGUAGAUAAGACCAACAUUAUCAUAGUUCAGCCCUCUCUGCUUUGCUUGGGUACGCCCUCAAAGACGAGGGUGGGGAGCGCCGAGUCAGAAGAGAGCUAAAAUGGCGGAGGUUGUGAGUCCCUGCUUUGACUCUGUUUGCAAACUCUUGUUUCAUCGUUUAAGCGAUUAAAUCUCUCGAGUAGACGCUGUCUCUUUAGAUGCGAGGGCAAAAUAGCACUUUAUGGACUUACACAGAGGACAUCAUGUUUAAUACGGUUCCGGAAAAAUCCAGUCAGAAGUUGUUCACGGAGUUUUCACAAUAACUGCUUCUCAUGAACCGAACCUGGACGUCUCCUUCUGAAAGUUGGAUUAACGUUACUGUGCACUUCUGGAUCACAGGCUGUAAGUAUUCACGUUUAUUAUUUGCCUUUUACUGUACAUUACGUAACCGGUAACCGGAGAUUAACAUAAUGUGCGUGUAGAGCUAAGCUUGCAAGCGAACUGUUUUGUGUUGUAAUACUGUAUUUCAUAAACAACGUACCAUAUUUACACACGUGUAUGUUGAAUUAUGCAGACUAUCGUUUUUUUAUCGAUGUUGGUUAAGACAUGUUUACAAACUUGCUAAGUUACCAGCUAAACUGUUACCGGUAAAAUUUGUUCUCAUGAUCAAACUCAAGAAACUCUAAGUACAGAUGAUUUGUUUAAAGUUAUAUGUAUUUUACUGUUGUUUUUACUUGAAGCUUUCUUAGAUUUUGAAACGAAGUAAACACGUAAUGUGUGUUGCUAAUGUUGGGCCAUGUAACAUGUAAUACAUUUACGUUUUAAUGAAUAGUCUAACGAGUUAUAGUCGUUGUACUCUAUUGUUAUAAUAUGUCUUUUUGACUGAAUACAUGUUUGUUUUAUUUGUCUAUAUCUUAGAUUCGCAGCUGGACACAUCCUUCUACACUGUAUGCAAACAUGCAACAUCAUAACACACAGUACAAGGAGUCAGACUGGCAUAUGAGGAGCAAAGGAACCCAGACAGUAGCAUCGUUUCACAAUGUUUCCAUCACCAUCAUCAGUGGAUGCCUUUGCCGUCCGUAGCCUGAGAUUCCAGAUUUGCAGCAAAAAAAAUUGAUUUUCUCAUUUAUUGGAAUGCUAUGCAGGUUGUACCUUGCAGCCAUCCAUUACAAUGUCACCAAGCCGUAACAAAAGCAGGAGAGGGAAAGUACAAGGCUAUGUUCCCAAAACACACAAGUGACAUACCUUAUGUGGAUGAUGUGAUCAGGCUUGUGUUUGAUGAGGUAUUUGAAGAUAAGCUGAAGGAAACCCCGAUUCCAAUGGACCUGGCAUCACAGUUUGAGAGACCUUCAAAGGAGGACGUG